rnacentral:rRNA from 1 species
AGUGAACGCUGGCGGUAGGCCUAACACAUGCAAGUCGAACGGCAGCACAGUAAGAGCUUGCUCUUACGGGUGGCGAGUGGCGGACGGGUGAGGAAUACAUCGAAAUCUACUUUUUCGUGGGGGAUAACGUAGGGAAACUUACGCUAAUACCGCAUACGACCUACGGGUGAAAGCAGGGGAUCUUCGGACCUUGCGCGAUUGAUUGAGCCGAUGUCGGAUUAGCUAGUUGGCGGGGUAAAGGCCCACCAAGGCGACGAUCCGUAGCUGGUCUGAGAGGAUGAUCAGCCACACUGGAACUGAGACACGGUCCAGACUCCUACGGGAGGCAGCAGUGGGGAAUAUUGGACAAUGGGCGCAAGCCUGAUCCAGCCAUACCGCGUGGGUGAAGAAGGCCUUCGGGUUGUAAAGCCCUUUUGUUGGGAAAGAAAGGCAGCAGGUUAAUACCCCGCUGUUCUGACGGUACCCAAAGAAUAAGCACCGGCUAACUUCGUG